UCACCCCUCAAGCCCUAGCUUGGUGUUGGACUUUAGUUAUAGCUUGGCCUAUCAACUGGUCUCAAAGAUAGUGACGGCGCCCCAGAGGAAACCGGGUACGAGGAGCUUUUUAUUAAGCAUGUAUCUGGGACGACUCUAAUGGACGACGGUCUUGUUAUACUUUUACCUAAG
rnacentral:misc_RNA from 1 species